CUGUUUGUCUCCGGGGUGCAGCUGGACAUCCGGUCGCGCAUCUAUGGCGGUUGGCCCAUGUCUCCAGUGUCGGUGUCUGCCGGCAUCCGGCGCUGGUGCUGUCGGUCUGGUCUCCCGGUGGCUGGUGACCUUGAGCGGCUUGUACCCUCCCUGUAGGAGCUGCUUACUGCUGUUGUGGGGCUGUCCUGGACGUCCGGCGUUCAUCUUGGGAGCUCACACUGUAGACUGUAGUAACUGAUUCUACAUGUGGCUGCUGCCUCAGCGGAGUUCCUGUGCUCCUGGACACUAGUGGUGAAUUGCCAUCCCUGAUUUCACCGGGACCUGAAGCACCAAGAUCAUGUGAAGUGAUUCCUCAACACUAACCAGACUGCGCAUGUGCCGCGAUCGUACCACACAUGUUCAAGGUACCUUUGCGAUUGCACUCGCAUUGACAUUUUAUAUGCAGAGUGAUUGACAGGAAGGGACCAUUUGGGGAGAUAACGUGCGAGUGGCAGGAAAAAC